rnacentral:rRNA from 1 species
ACGGGUGCGUAACGCGUAUCAAACCUGCCUCAUACUCGGGGAUAGCCUUGCGAAAGUAAGAUUAAUACCCGAUGUUGUUAUGUUACCGCAUGGUGAUAUAACCAAAGAUUUAUCGGUAUGAGAUGGUGAUGCGUCCGAUUAGGUAGUAGGCGGGGUAACGGUCCACCUAGCCUUCGAUCGGUAGGGGUUCUGAGAGGAAGGCCCCCCACACUGGAACUGAGACACGGUCCAGACUCCUACGGGAGGCAGCAGUGAGGAAUAUUGGUCAAUGGACGAAAGUCUGAACCAGCCAAGUAGCGUGCAGGAUGACGGCCCUCUGGGUUGUAAACUGCUUUUAGUUGGGAAUAAAAAAGAGGACGUGUCCUCUAUUGUAUGUACCUUCAGAAAAAGGACCGGCUAAUUCCGUGCCAGCAGCCGCGGUAAUACGGAAGGUCCAGGCGUUAUCCGGAUUUAUUGGGUUUAAAGGGAGCGUAGGCGGAUUAUUAAGUCAGUGGUGAAAGACGGUGGCUCAACCAUCGUUAGCCAUUGAAACUGGUAGUCUUGAGUGCAGACAGGGAUGCUGGAACUCGUGGUGUAGCGGUGAAAUGCUUAGAUAUCACGAUGAACUCCGAUCGCGAAGGCAGGUGUCCGGGCUGCAACUGACGCUG